AUUUUCGUAGUCCGUCUACAUGCAUCGAAUCUCUCGGUUGCGGUGAAAGGAUCUCAAUUCUAAAUCAUUUAAAAAAAAAUUGUACUCACUCCUUCUAACAAAAAUGUCUUAGUUUUGAUUAAAUUUAAAUGCAUCUAUAUAUUAAGUCAUGUCUAAAUACAUUUAAAUUUUGACAAACUUGAUGCAUCUUUUGUUGGACGGAGGAAGUAUGUUUUUUUUUAAAUGAGCAAUUAUAACUCUAAUUUACUUUAUAAAAAAUAUGUCAGCAUUUAUAACUCUAAAUUAGUUUAAUCAAAUUCGUCAACAAUAUAUAUCUUCAUUGCACACUCAGUUAAUAUUGCAAAUAUUAGUACAUUCUUUUAUAAGUUUGAGUCAGACUCAAAUAAAGUUUGAAUGAAAACAAAAUUAGAAAAUUUCAUAUACUGAAACAGAGAGACAGUACUUCGUCUGAUCCAUAUUAAUUGUCUAAAAUUUGUCAAAUAUAAAUGUAUCUAUGUCUUAAAAACAUCUAGAUACAUGUAAUAUUUUGACAAUUAAUAUAGUUCGGAGAGAAUACUUUCUUGACUCCAUGGCUGAUGAGAAAUGAAACUUCCAAUGAGCAACCAUUGUUAAAGCAAGAAGGAUUUCCAAUAAUAUUAUUCUGGGCCAGGAAAUUACUCACUCCUUUAAUCUUUCAUCUUGGAAGAACAGAGCUCUUUUUGCUUAAAAUUGACCUUGCUAAAGCUUUUGAUAGAAUACAAUGGAAUUAUAUUCUAAAUGCUCUAAGAAGACAAGGUUUCAAAAACCACUUCAUCAACUUAGUCAAAACUUGUAUCACCUCUGCCCAUUUCUCGGUGGUUAUUAAUGGUCAACCUAGUGGUAAUUUCAAAAACUACAGAGUAUUAGACAGGGUUGCCCGAUGUCUCCUUAUCUUUUUGUUAUGGCUAUUAAUGAAUUAUCAACUACUUUGCAAGAUGCCAUGCAGGAACAAAGGCUUCAGGGCAUUUUUCUAGGUGAAAAUGCUCCUGCCAUUCAUUCAAUAAUGUUUGCUAACGACCUCAUUAUAUGUGGAGAUGCUGCAAAUGAUGAUUGCCUCACAAUCAAACAUAUUCUCCAAAGUUUUUGUCAACACUCGGGACAAAUCCCUAACUGGAACAAAUCCUCUAUCCUUUUCAGCAAGCUUGUUACUAAUCAACAAAAAACUAGAAUUCGAAACCUUUUUCCGGCUAAGGAUAUGGAUACUACUGAAAAACAUUUGGGACACCCUUUGAUAAUGCCUGCUAAAAAUAGAUCUUCUGCUUACUCUUUUAUUGUUGACAAAUUUAUAACUAAGCUGAGCUUAUAUAAAGCCAAUAGACUUUCACAUGCUGGAAGACUUACUCUGAUAAAGUCUGUUUUCUCUUCAAUUCCUGUGUACUACAUGGCUAACAUCCUUUUAUCAAAAAAACUCAUUAAAAGGUUAACUUCUGUCAUUAGAGAUUUUUAUGGACAGGUGUCCAAGAAGGAAACCGGAAAAAACCACUUUACCUCAAAGCUUGGACUGAGAUUUGCAAGCCCAUGAGAGAUGGAGGAUUAGGUGUUCGAGACCUCCAAGCUGUCAAUGAAGGACUCUUAACAUGCACGGCUUGGAGAAUUGCGGCAGAUGAAACAACUUUUGUUUCAAAAAUUCUAAAAGUUUUGCAGAAAAUCUGAAGAAUCUAACUACGGCGGCAUGGAAAAGUAAGCUUUUGCCACCUCGGAUACAAACUUUUGCGUGGCGCUUGUCGAGGAAAGCUCUUGCUACAGGAGAGAGAGGGUCUACCUUAUCAAGGCACAUUGAAAAAUUCUGCAAACGAUGUGGUCAGGUAGAAAAUGAACUCCAUCUGUUUUUUACUUGCGAAUAUGCAUAAGUUGUGUGGUUUGCUACUUUUUAAGGUAUAAGGGUCGAUAGCAUGCUGGAGCAAAAUAUUCUGACAGUUCCGGAGAUAAUUCAAGCCAUUUUACAAGCUUCCACGCACGACAACAUGCUCGAGUUCAUCUUUGCAGUCCUCUGGAUGUUGUGGAAAUCAAGAAACGAUCUCUUGUUCAAUUCAAUAAAUCAAAGUCCAUUGCAGGUCAUACAUGGAGCUAAGGCGCUUUUUCAAACCGAAGCAAAAACCUUCCAAAUGGAGAUUGCACAAGAUCCUGUCCAAAAUACUCUUUAUAAAUCUGUUUAUUCUAUGGACAGCAAAAGGAUAAAGGAAGGCCCAAAUAUAUUUAUUGAUGCGGCUUGGAAGGAGCAAAAUCCUCUUAAUCUUUCUUGUGUAGGUCCUGGAAAGCACGCCGGACUGGAAGUCUUCAUCUAUGCACCUCGUCAUCAUCAGCACAAAACCAUCUUCUUGCAGGCAACUUCAGUAGCGGAUAGCGCCCUUCAGCUGAAGCUCAAGCCUUGGAACUCGCAAGCAUAAUUGCUUCAAGAUUACAACUUCUUCAUUGUGCAAACUUUUUAACAGAUAACGAGACUCUAUCACUGGCGGUAGCUUCGAGGAAGCCUAAGGAAAAACCAGGCCAUUGGAGCAUCAUGUCAAAUCUACAAGGCUUCGUAUCCAAUACUGAAGCAAAUGACACGACAAUCUACAAGAUUAAGAGAGAGAGCAAUAGAAAUGCUCAUAGGGAAGCUCAAUGUGCUUAUAGAACUGCACCUAGGAGCUCUUGCAUCUUUGCUUGUAGUUCAGUAAGCCAUCCUUCGGCCUCUUGUCCAACUAAGGCCGUUUUAUGUU